AGGAAAGCCCCCUCUCUCGUCCUCAAGCUGGAUUUCGCUAAAGCUUUUGACUCGGUUAACUGGGCGUGCCUUCGUCGAGUCAUGGAGGUGCGCGGCUUCCCUGUGAAGUGGUGCGCGUGGGUGGAUGCUAUCCUCCGUUCAUCACGCUCCGCUGUGCUGCUCAACGGAGAGCCGGGGGCGUGGUUCCCGGUCAGGUGUGGGCUUCACCAAGGAGACCCGAUGUCGCCCUACCUCUACCUCUUGGUGGCGGACGUCCUGCAACGGAUGGUGCGGCGCGACCCCCUACUCAAACACCCGGUGGUGGACGGUGAACCUCCGAUCGUGCUCCAAUACACCGACGACACCCUUAUCAUCAUCCGUGCGUCUGUGAAGGCGGCGGCGCGGCUACGGCACAUCUUGGACGACUUCGCCGCGGCCACUGGGCUGGGCAUCAACUACGGCAAGAGCACCUUGGUGCCGAUUCACAUUGCGGAUGAGGUGGUGGCUGGGGCGCGGGGGGCCCUCUCCUGCUCUGUAUAG
rnacentral:rRNA from 1 species